rnacentral:rRNA from 1 species
GAUGAACGCUGGUGGCGUGUCUAAGGCAUGCAAGUCGAACGGAUCGUUAUUUGUAGCAAUACUUAGAACGGUUAGUGGCAAACGGGUGCGUAACACAUUGGUAACCUGCCUCAAAGUCGGGCAUAAUCCCGCGAAAGUGGGACUAAUUCCACGAUGGUCAUCGAAGGUGAGAAUCCUUCGAUGUAAAGUCGCAAGACGCUUUGAGAGGGGCCUAUGGCCUAUCAGCUUGUUGGUGAGGUAAUGGCUCACCAAGGCUAUGACGGGUAGGGGGUGUGAGAGCACGACCCCCUCACUGGGACUGAGACACUGCCCAGACACCUACGGGUGGCUGCAGUCGAGAAUAUUCCCCAAUGGCCGAAAGGCUGAGGGAGCGACGCCGCGUGCAGGAAUAAGGCCUCGGUUGUAACUAGCUUUGUCCGUAGGAAGAAGUACAUGACGGUACUCGGAGGAAUAAGAGGUAGGUAACUACUGUGCCAGCAGCCGCGGUAACGUAGUAGUCGU